UUUUUUAACGUUAAAAAAGAAGCUCCAGAAGUUUGUAAAGAAAACAAAGAAUUAGAAGUCUCUAUGGAAGAGGAAAAGGAUACUGGAGAUAUAAAAGACAGAUCCCUACUGAAAGCAAAAAGAAAGCAUAAGAAAAAAACAUAAAGAGAGGCAUAAAAUGGGAGAAGAGGUUAUUCCAUUACGAGUACUAUCAAAGUACCGAGAUGGAUGAGAAGAGUGGAGACGGCCUGGUGAAGAAGGACGGCUGUGGGAGGAAAGAGAAAACGGGUGAUAUCCGCUUAAUUUCAGGGGACUUUAUCUCCUGAGCAAUUACUCACACAUAACUUUUUUUUGCCACACCUUGUGGCAUGUGGGAUCUUAGCUCACCUACCAGAGAGAGAACUCAGGCCCCCUGCAGUGGAAAUUCAGAGUUUUAACCACUGGGCCACCAUGGAAGUCCCCUCACAUAUACAUCUUAUUUAUGGCUUCCAGAGAGCUUCUUUGUAUUAAUUAUUGUGUCCAAUUCUGGCAACCAUCUUCAUUUCACAGAUGGAUCCACUUAGUCUUAGAAAAUAUGUAUCUGCCUGUGAUCACACAGCUAGUAAAUGGCAGAGAUUUGAAAUCAAAUUCCCUGAUCCCUAAAUUGACCUUUUUUCCAACUCUAUUCUUGCUAUCCAAAUCUGACCUGCAAUCUUGGUGGUAUUGAAGAUGGCUUUAGACCUGAGGUUGCCAGUUCAUAGGGUUGCAAAGAGUUGGACAUGACUGAACUGACUUAGCAUGCACGCACGCUUUAGCAUGACAGCAGUAGAAUUGAAUAGUUGUGAAGAUAUGGUCCACAGUACUGAAAAUAUACAUUAUCUGCCAUGGUACUGAAAAUAUACAUUAUCUGCCCUUUCCAGAAAAAAGGUUGUCAACCUCCACUUUAGAUGAUUCUUAAAUGCAUAUUUUAAGUUUUGACAGGUAGAGAAUUAUUUUAACCCAGUUUAGAAAAAAUAUAACCAGCAUGCAAAAACUGUGGUUUCAUGAAUAUUAUCGUUUAGGAGGAAACUGAGUUUAGAGAGCAUACUAAAGUAAAGGACUUCUCUUGUGCUACAGUGGAUAGGAAUCUGCCUGCCAAUGCAGGAGACGUGGGUUCAAUUCCUGGUCCGGGAAGAUUCUGCAGAGCAACUAAGCCCUCAAACUGUUGAAGCCCAUGUGUCUAGAGCCAGUGCUCCACAACAAGAGAAACCACCCCAAUGAGAAGUCUGCACGCUGCAGUGAAGAGUAGCCCCUCUGUCUGCCACUAGAGAAAGCCUUGCAGCAAUGAAGACCUAGAGCCACCAAAAGUAAAAUAAUAAUAAUAGUAAAGUGGACCUAAUGAACUAGUACAUAAUGGUAUAAAUGAUCUUUGGCUCAGGAAAAAUUGUGAAAGUGGGGAAGGAGGGGCUGAUAUUUGAGGACCACUGGGCUGUGCAGAUGCUGAGCAAUAACGGUGGAUGCUGAGCUCCACCAGAAAGCUUCGGGCCAACCCCUCUGCCUGGAAUGGUGGCUGCUGCUCUUCUCAGAUAACCGUGAUAGUUAAUAAUGGGCUGCUAUGCCUGGUGCUUUCCAUUUCUCAAAGGAUUUUCACAUCAAUUAUCUCAAAUGGAUAUCAUUAUUUCCACUUAACGAAUUCAUCCAUUAAUUCCUUAACAAGGAUUUAUUGAGCAUCUAUCAUGUACCAGGUGGUAUUUUAGAGGCUGGGGAUAUAGCCAGGAACAAAAUGGGCAGAGUUGCUGUAUCUGUAUCUAUAAGCUUAUUUUUUCCUUCUUUCUUUAGAUUCCACAAAUAAGUAAGAUCAUACAGUAUUUGUCUUUCUCUGUCUUACUUACUUCACUUAUCAGAAUGCCCUCAAGGUCCAUCCGUGUUGUCACAGCUGGCAAGAUGUCCUUUUUUAUAGCUGAAUGUCAUGCCACACUUCCUUUAUCCAUACAUCCACUGACGCACACUCAAAUUGUUUUCAUACCUUGUAAAUAAUGUUGCAGCGAACAUGGGGAUGCAUCUAUCUUUUCAAAUGAGUGGUUUUGUUUUCUUUGAAUAAAUACUCAAAAGUGAAAUUGCUGAAUCAUA